AUUGAACGCUGGCGGCAUCCUUUACACAUCCAAGUCGGACGGCAGCACAGAGAAGCUUGCUUCUUGGGUGGCGAGUGGCGAACCGGGUGAGUAAUAUAUCGGAACGUACCGAGUAAUGGGGGAUAACUAAUCGAAAGAUUAGCUAAUCCCGCAUAUUCUCUGAGGAGGAAAGCAGGGGACCUUCGGGCCUUGCGUUAUUCGAGCGGCCGAUAUCUGAUUAGCUAGUUGGUGGGGUAAAGGCCUACCAAGGCGACGAUCAGUAGCGGGUCUGAGAGGAUGAUCCGCCACACUGGGAAUGAGACACGGCCCAGACUCCUACGGGAGGCAGCAGUGGGGAAUUUUGGACAAUGGGCGCAAGCCUGAUCCAGCCAUGCCGCGUGUCUGAAGAAGGCCUUCGGGUUGUAAAGGACUUUUGUCAGGGAAGAAAAGGAUACGGGUUAAUACC
rnacentral:rRNA from 1 species